rnacentral:rRNA from 1 species
CAUGGUUGUCGUCAGCUCGUGUCGUGAGAUGUUGGGUUAAGUCCCGCAACGAGCGCAACCCUUGAUUUUAGUUGCCAGCAUUUAGUUGGGCACUCUAAAGUGACUGCCGGUGCAAGCCGGAGGAAGGUGGGGAUGACGUCAAAUCAUCAUGCCCCUUAUGACCUGGGCUACACACGUGCUACAAUGGAUAGUACAAAGGGUCGCGAAGCCGCGAGGUGGAGCUAAUCCCAUAAAACUAUUCUCAGUUCGGAUUGUAGGCUGCAACUCGCCUACAUGAAGCCGGAAUCGCUAGUAAUCGUGGAUCAGCAUGCCACGGUGAAUACGUUCCCGGGCCUUGUACACACCGCCCGUCACACCACGAGAGUUUGUAACA